rnacentral:rRNA from 1 species
UACGUAGGUCGCAAGCGUUGUCCGGAUUUACUGGGCGUAAAGAGCGCGCAGGCGGCUGGUCAAGUCCGAUGUGAAAUCUCCCGGCUCAACUGGGAAACUGCAUCGGAAACUGAUCGGCUUGAAGAUGGGAGAGGGUAGUGGAAUUCCCGGUGUAGUGGUGAAAUGCGUAGAUAUCGGGAGGAACACCAAUAGCGAAGGCAGCUCGCUGGGACGGUACUGACGCUAAGGCGCGAAAGCGUGGGGAGCGAACAGG